rnacentral:rRNA from 1 species
AGAGUUUGAUCAUGGCUCAGCCUGAACGCUGGCGGCGUGGCUAAGACAUGCAAGUCGAACGGAUGUAGCAAUACAUCAGUGGCGGACGGGUGAGUAAUGAAUCGCUAACGUGCCCCGCAGUUUGGGAUAGCCGGCCGAAAGGCCGGGUAAUACCGGGUGACACCGCUUGGAGGCAUCUCCGGGCGUUCAAAGGAGCAAUCCGCUGCGGGAGCGGGCGAUUUCGUAUCAGCUAGUUGGCGGGGUAACGGCCCACCAAGGCGACGAUCAGUAGCUGGUCUGAGAGGAUGAUCAGCCACACUGGGACUGAGACACGGCCCAGACUCCUACGGGAGGCAGCAGUGGGGAAUUUUCCGCAAUGGGCGCAAGCCUGACGGAGCAAGACCGCGUGCGGGAUGACGGCCUUCGGGUUGUAAACUCCUUUUGCAUGGGACGAUACGGACGGUACCGUGCGAAUAAGCCCCGGCUAACUCUGUGCCAGCCGCCGCGGUAAUAC